rnacentral:rRNA from 1 species
AUGUCUCCUGUGCAGUCACUGCCUCUGAUAAUCCUUGUCCUAUCCUCUCUGCUGACAUGUUCAGUACUAGGUGCCACAGCUCUCCACCAUGAUGCUAGCACUGACUUCCAAGCUCUCCGAUGCCUUAAACUGCAUCUUAGUGUUUCAAAUCGACUCCUAACCUCAUGGAAGAUCGAUGAUUCCCUCCAACAGUUUUGCAAUUGGUCUGGUGUUACUUGCAGUAAGAGGCACACAUCUCGUGUUGUUGCACUGGACCUCGAGUCGCUCCAACUUGAUGGCCAAAUACCUCCUUGCAUUGCAAAUUUCACUCUCCUCACAAGAAUCCACCUCCCAAACAAUCAACUUAGGGGUCCAAUCCCAGCUGAAAUUGGCCAACUGAAUAGGUUGCGAUAUCUUAACCUCAGCUCAAACAAUAUUAGUGGCAUGAUCCCAAGCAAUCUAGCCACAUGUUCUCAACUUCAAGUCAUUGAUCUUGGGAGCAACUUCAUCAAUGGCGAGAUCCCACCAAACCUUAGCCAAUGUUCAGAUAUGCAGCAACUCAACUUGGAUGACAACGAGCUCGCUGGAGGCAUCCCAGAAGGGUUGGGGACACUACGCAACCUUUCAGUUUUGCAACUUGCUGGAAAUACUCUGACAGGCAAUAUACCUCUUUCACUUGGAACCAGUUCUUCCCUUCAUUCUGUUAAACUCACUGACAAUAGCCUCACAGGACCAAUCCCAUCUCUCCUAGCUAAUUGUUCAUCACUUCAAUUUUUGGUCUUAACAAAAAAUCAGCUUGGUGGAGAGAUUCCACCGGCCCUAUUUAACAGCACAUCACUCCAAAUCUUGUCCCUGGGACUAAACAACUUUAUUGGGUCCAUACCUGCUAUUUUCCCGAAUGUUGCUGACUCACCCUUGAAACGUAUUGUCUUGGCAUCAAAUAAUCUUACAGGCACAAUACCUUCUUCUCUAGGGAAUUUUUCUAACCUUUCGUGGCUCUUGCUUUCACAGAACAAUUUUCAAGGUAGCAUCCCAGUGAGUAUUGGGAAAAUUCCAUAUAACAUUGGAUAUACCCUUCCAAGCAUCCAAACUUUGAUUAUGGGAGUGAACAAAUUUCAUGGCCAAAUCCCCACUUCACUAGCCAACACAACGAUUCUUCGGGCAAUUGAUCUCGGUAGCAAUUCGUUCCAUGGUAUUGUGCCUUCUCUUGGGACUCUUCCCAACUUAAUCUACCUGGAUCUCGGUGAAAAUCGUCUGGAAGCAGGAGAUUGGUCUUUCUUAACCUCAUUGACCAAUUGCACCCAGCUGGUGGAAUUAUCCUUGAAUGCAAAUAUCCUUCAAGGAGAUUUGCCGAGUUCCAUUGCAGGACUCUCGAAGAGCUUAGAGGUAUUGUUAUUAAGAGAAAAUAGAAUAUCAGGCACUAUACCAUGGGAGAUACAUCACCUCAGAAACAUCAAAACUCUUUACCUGGGAAAAAAAUUGCUUAGUGGAAGAAUCCCUGAAUCACUUGGAAAUCUUCGAAACUUGUUUGUCCUAAGCUUAUCCCAGAACAAACUUUACGGAAGAAUUCCACUAUCAAUUGGCAAUCUAAGCAUAUUGAGUGAGCUAUAUUUACAGGAAAAUAAUUUGAGUGGCCCGAUCCCAGGAGCUCUAGGAGACUGCAAAAAAUUGGUCAUGCUGAACCUCUCUUGUAAUAGCUUUGAUUAUAGCAUACCAAAGGAGCUCUUUACUCUUUCCUCCCUUGCAGAAGGUUUGGACUUAUCUCAUAACAAACUCUCAGGAGAAAUACCACUGCAGAUUGGUGGCUUGGUCAAUCUCGGCCCAUUGAAUAUAUCCAAUAACCAGUUGUCUGGACAAAUACCCUCUACUCUUGGUCAGUGCGUCCACUUGGAGUCGCUGCACAUGGAGAGGAACAAUUUUCAUGGGAGAAUCCCUCAAUCUUUCAUGAAUUUGAGAGGCGCCAUUGUGAUGGAUCUAUCGCAAAACAACUUGUCUGGUGAAAUCCCUGACUUCUUCGAGUCCUUUAGUUCCAUGAAGCUUCUAAACUUGUCGCUCAAUAACUUCCAGGGACCAGUGCCACCAGGUGGAAUGUUUCAGAAUAAAAGUGAGGUGUUCUUACAAGGAAACAAGAAGUUAUGUGCCAACACCCCAUUGCUAGAGUUGCCACUUUGCAAUGAAAUGAUAUCCAAAAAAAAGAUGUACACCUCCAAGAUUCUGAAGAUAGUAGCAAUUACUGUUAUUUCUUUGGUUAUGUUAUCAUGCUUUGGAGUCAUUAUCUUUAAGAAGAGAAAGAUCAAACAAGCAACACAUCCAUCUGUCAAGGAGUUAAAGAAGUUCACAUAUGUUGAUUUAGUGAAAGCAACGAAUGAUUUUUCUUUAGCCAACUUGGUUGGUUCAGGAAAAUAUGGGUCCGUCUACAAAGGUAGAAUUGAGUCUGAAGAACAUCAUACGGUUGCUAUCAAAGUUUUUAAACUUGAUCAACUUGGAGCAACAACGAGCUUCGUUGCUGAAUGUGAGGCACUAAGAAACACUCGUCAUCGUAAUCUUGUAAGGGUGAUCACCGUAUGCUCAACAAGUGACCCGAUAGGAAAUGAGUUCAAAGCUCUUGUUCUUGAGUUUAUGGUAAAUGGCGACCUAGAGAGUUGGAUCUAUCCAACACUAACCAACGAGCAUCAUCCAAAAAGGCCGUUGUGUAUGGGUUCAAGAGGAUAG